GGGCCUGUAGCUUAGCCUGGUGGAGCGAUGGUCUUAUAAGCCAUUGGUCGGCGGUUCAAAUCCGCUCAGGCCCA
rnacentral:tRNA from 2 species